UACGUAGGGUCCGAGCGUUGUCCGGAAUUACUGGGCGUAAAGGGCGCGUAGGCGGACAGUUUAGUCAGAGGUGAAAGCCCAGGGCUCAACCUUGGAAUUGCCUUUGAUACUGGCUGUCUUGAGUUCGGGAGAGGUGAGUGGAAUGCCGAGUGUAGAGGUGAAAUUCGUAGAUAUUCGGCGGAACACCAGUGGCGAAGGCGACUCACUGGCCCGAUACUGACGCUGAGGCGCGAAAGCGUGGGGAGCAAACAGG
rnacentral:rRNA from 1 species